rnacentral:rRNA from 1 species
UGGGGAAUUUUGGACAAUGGGCGAAAGCCUGAUCCAGCAAUGCCGCGUGUGUGAAGAAGGCCUUCGGGUUGUAAAGCACUUUUGUCCGGAAAGAAAUCCUUGGCUCUAAUACAGUCGGGGGAUGACGGUACCGGAAGAAUAAGCACCGGCUAACUACGUGCCAGCAGCCGCGGUAAUACGUAGGGUGCAAGCGUUAAUCGGAAUUACUGGGCGUAAAGCGUGCGCAGGCGGUUUGCUAAGACCGAUGUGAAAUCCCCGGGCUCAACCUGGGAACUGCAUUGGUGACUGGCAGGCUAGAGUAUGGCAGAGGGGGGUAGAAUUCCACGUGUAGCAGUGAAAUGCGUAGAGAUGUGGAGGAAUACCGAUGGCGAAGGCAGCCCCCUGGGCCAAUACUGACGCUCAUGCACGAAAGCGUGGGGAGCAAACAGGAUUAGAUACCCUGGUAGUCCACGCCCUAAACGAUGUCAACUAGUUGUUGGGAUUCAUUUCCUUAGUAACGUAGCUAACGCGUGAAGUUGACCGCCUGGGGAGUACGUCGCAAGAUUAAAACUUAAAUGAAUUGACGGGGUCAUAGCUG